CUGCUGCCUUCCGUAGGAGUUUGGGCCGUGUCUCAGUCCCAAUGUGGCCGAUCACCCUCUCAGGUCGGCUACUGAUCGUCGCCUUGGUAGGCCUUUACCCCACCAACUAGCUAAUCAGACGCGGGUCCAUCUCAUACCACCGGAGUUUUUCACACCGAAUCAUGCGAUUCUGUGCGCUUAUGCGGUAUUAGCAGUCAUUUCUAACUGUUAUCCCCCUGUAUGAGGCAGGUUACCCACGCGUUACUCACCCGUCCG
rnacentral:rRNA from 1 species